rnacentral:rRNA from 1 species
UACGUAGGGGGCGAGCGUUGUCCGGAUUUAUUGGGCGUAAAGAGCUCGUAGGCGGCUUAGCAAGUCGGGUGUGAAAACUCCAGGCUCAACCUGGAGACGCCACUCGAGACUGCUAUGGCUAGAGUCCGGUAGGGGACCACGGAAUUCCUGGUGUAGCGGUGAAAUGCGCAGAUAUCAGGAGGAACACCGGUGGCGAAGGCGGCUCACUGGCUCAUAUCUGACGCUCAGGCGCGACAGCGUGGGGAUCAAACAGG